AAUUGACGGGGACCCGCACAAGCGGUGGAUGAUGUGGAUUAAUUCGAUGCAACGCGAAAAACCUUACCUACCCUUGACAUGGAAGGAAUCCUUGAGAGAUCGAGGAGUGCCCGAAAGGGAACCUUCACACAGGUGCUGCAUGGCUGUCGUCAGCUCGUGUUGUGAGAUGUUGGGUUAAGUCCCGCAACGAGCGCAACCCUCGUCCUUAGUUGCUACCAUUUAGUUGGGCACUUUAAGGAAACUGCCGGUGAUAAGCCGGAGGAAGGUGGGGAUGACGUCAAGUCCUCAUGGCCCUUACGGGUUGGGCUACACACGUGCUACAAUGGCGGUGACAGAGGGCAGCGAGGCCGCGAGGCCGAGCGAAUCUCCAAAAGCCGUCUCAGUUCGGAUUGUUCUCUGCAACUCGAGAGCAUGAAGGCGGAAUCGCUAGUAAUCGCGGAUCAGCAUGCCGCGGUGAAUACGUUCCCGGG
rnacentral:rRNA from 1 species